CCGGACCGGCGCACGGGUGAGUAACACGUAUGCAAUCCACCUGUAACAGGGGGAGUAACCCGGAGAAAUCCGGGCUAAUACCCCAUAAUAUGGGCUCUCCGCAUGGAGGGUCCAUUAAAGAGAGCAAUUUUGGUUACAGACGAGCAUGCGCUCCAUUAGCCAGUUGGCGGGGUAACGGCCCACCAAAGCGACGAUGGAUAGGGGUUCUGAGAGGAAGGUCCCCCACAUUGGAACUGAGACACGGUCCAA
rnacentral:rRNA from 1 species